UUUUUGUGAUCUCACCCGGUACGGGCAUGCUCUUAGCCGUUGGGAGGUACAGACUCCAUGGGAACAGCCAAAGGGUCUGUGGUGGGUCACUGGGGGUACUAGGCCAGUGACUGGGCACGUGGGCCUCAGGGCCAUGGGGUGAGGGACAGCGAGGAGGAGGAGGAGGAGGGAGUAGAAUGUGGCACUGGGCUGGAAGGACUUAACAGGGUGGAGUGAACACUGUGCUCAUCCAGAACUGGCUUUGGAAUUGUGAACAUCUCUGAAUACUGAGAAGAGCACUGGCUAUGGAUUGGAAUAUCCAGGUUCAAAUCCCACCCUUUCACUGACCAUCCCUGUGACCCUGAGCAAGUGACUUAACCUCCAUGAGCACCAGUGUCCCCUCCAUAACGUGGGGGCAAUGAUGCCUGUGACAACAGGGUGUGCCGGAGGAUUUCUGCGUAUCAUUUGGCUCUGGCCAUCUGAAUAGAGCCCCCACUUACCCUUCCUAAGGAAGCUCCACUCCCCAGUACUGCAGUUUGAAGAGAUUCCUGGAAGAGACAGAAGAUGACGGGUGGAUCUGAGGCUGCCAUCUUGAACUAGAAGCCUGUAUCUCCCAAUCUAGUUUAAAUUUCUCUGGUUCUGAUAU